UGCGAUGUCGUGAUUGGCCACUCCGUACGAUGACCGGGACGCAAGGGAACCCGGUGCGAAUCCGGGGCUGUCCCGCAACUGUGACCCGACCUCGAUCGGGAAGCCAGAUCGCUUGCGUCUUCGCGACCCACGAG
rnacentral:ncRNA from 2 species